rnacentral:misc_RNA from 1 species
GUAGGUGAACCUGCGGAAGGAUCAUUAACGAAUCUCAAGUGGGUUGUGUGGUGGUUGUGAUGACCAUUUGGGAUGACCAUUUGGUCAUCAUGCCCCCCUUCCCAUAUUAACCCGAGCCCGAGCAGCAAUGCCGGGCGAGGUGUGUGAGUGGGAAACUGGAAAGGGCAACCUGGAAAGAGCCCUCUCACGCGGUGAAGAUCAAUCAACGAUCGGAUCCACAUAGGCGCUUGUAUGUUUGACAGAGUUAGUU